rnacentral:piRNA from 1 species
GGCUGGUCCGAAGGUAGUGA